rnacentral:rRNA from 1 species
UACGUAGGGGGCGAGCGUUGUCCGGAUUUAUUGGGCGUAAAGGGCUCGUAGGCGGUUUGUCGCGUUGGGAGUGAAAACCCAGGGCUUAACUCUGGGCUUGCUUUCGAUACGGGCAGACUAGAGGUAUGCAGGGGAGAACGGAAUUCCUGGUGUAGCGGUGAAAUGCGCAGAUAUCAGGAGGAACACCGGUGGCGAAGGCGGUUCUCUGGGCAUUACCUGACGCUGAGGCACGAAAGCGUGGGGAGCAAACAGG